ACCUACCUGAAACAGGGGGAUAGCUUCCGGAAACGGGGAUUAAUACCCCAUACGAUUCAUUUGUGGCCUCACAAAUGGAUAAAAGCUACGGCGGUUUCAGAUGGUCAUGCGUACCAUUAGUUAGUUGGUGAGGUAAAGGCUCACCAAGGCGAUGAUGGUUAGGGGUCCUGAGAGGGUAGUCCCCCACACUGGUACUGAGACACGGACCAGACUCCUACGGGAGGCAGCAGUGAGGAAUAUUGGUCAAUGGGCGCUAGCCUGAACCAGCCAUGCCGCGUGCAGGAAGACGGCCCUACGGGUUGUAAACUGCUUUUCUGCAGGAAGAAUAUAUAGUCUUAGGGCUAUAUUGACGGUACUGCAGGAAUAAGCAUCGGCUAACUCCGUGCCAGCAGCCGCGGUAAUACGGAGGAUGCAAGCGUUAUCCGGAUUCAUUGGGUUUAAAGGGUGCGCAGGCUGUAAAGCAAGUCAGUGGUGAAAGCCCUGGGCUUAACUCAGGGAUUGCCAUUGAAACUGUUUUACUAGAGUGUAGUAGAGGACGGCGGAAUGAGUUGUGUAGCGGUGAAAUGCAUAGAUAUAACUCAGAACACCUAUUGCGUAGGCAGCUGUCUAUACUACAACUGACGCUGAGGCACGAAAGCGUGGGGAGCGAACAGGAUUAGAUACCCUGGUAGUCCACGCUGUAAACGAUGAUCACUCGUUGUUGGCUACUUAGUAGUCAGUGACCAAGGGAAACCGAUAAGUGAUCCACCCUGGGGAGUACGUCGGCAACGAUGAAACUCAAAGGAAUUGACGGGGGCCCGCACAAGCGGAGGAGCAUGUGGUUUAAUUCGAUGAUACGCGAGGAACCUUACCUGGGCUUAAAUGCUGGCUGCAUU
rnacentral:rRNA from 1 species